rnacentral:tRNA from 7 species
GCCGGCUUAGCUCAGUGGUAGAGCAGCGCUUUUGUAAAGCGAAGGUCAUCGGUUCAAAUCCGUUAGCCGGCUUCA